UACGUAGGGGGGCAAGCGUUGUCCGGAUUUAUUGGGCGUAAAGAGCGUGUAGGCGGCCAGACAGGUCCGUUGUGAAAACUCGAGGCUCAACCUCGAGAUGUCGAUGGAAACCGUCUGGCUAGAGUCCGGAAGAGGAGUGUGGAAUUCCUGGUGUAGCGGUGAAAUGCGCAGAUAUCGGAAAGAACACCCGUGGCGAAGGCGGUUCUCUGGGACGGUACUGACGCUGAGACGCGAAAGCGUGGGAGCGAACAGG
rnacentral:rRNA from 1 species